rnacentral:tRNA from 3 species
ACGGGAAUAGCUUAGUUGGUAGAGUGUCGGUCUCCAAAACCGAAGGUCGGGGGUUCGAGCCCCUCUUCCCGUGCCA